rnacentral:rRNA from 1 species
AUUGAACGCUGGCGGCAGGCCUAACACAUGCAAGUCGAGCGGCAGCGGGAAGUAGCUUGCUACUUUGCCGGCGAGCGGCGGACGGGUGAGUAAUGUCUGGGAAACUGCCUGAUGGAGGGGGAUAACUACUGGAAACGGUAGCUAAUACCGCAUAACGUCGCAAGACCAAAGAGGGGGACCUUCGGGCCUCUUGCCAUCAGAUGUGCCCAGAUGGGAUUAGCUAGUAGGUGGGGUAAUGGCUCACCUAGGCGACGAUCCCUAGCUGGUCUGAGAGGAUGAACAGGCAGACGGGAACUGAGAAACGGUCCAGACUCCUACGGGAGGCAGCAGUGGGGAAUAUUGCACAAUGGGCGCAAGCCUGAUGCAGCCAUGCCGCGUGUAUGAAGAAGGCCUUCGGGUUGUAAAGUACUUUCAGCGGGGAGGAAGGUGUUGAGGUUAAUAACCUCAGCAAUUGACGUUACCCGCAGAAGAAGCACCGGCUAACUCCGUGCCAGCAGCCGCAGUAA